rnacentral:rRNA from 1 species
AACUCAAAGGAGACUGCCAGUGAUAAACUGGAGGAAGGUGGGGAUGACGUCAAGUCAUCAUGGCCCUUACGACCAGGGCUACACACGUGCUACAAUGGCGCAUACAAAGAGAAGCGACCUCGCGAGAGCAAGCGGACCUCAUAAAGUGCGUCGUAGUCCGGAUUGGAGUCUGCAACUCGACUCCAUGAAGUCGGAAUCGCUAGUAAUCGUGGAUCAGAAUGCCACGGUGAAUACGUUCCCGGGCCUUGUACACACCGCCCGUCACACCAUGGGAGUGGGUUGCAAAA